rnacentral:rRNA from 1 species
AACGAACGCUGGCGGCAGGCUUAACACAUGCAAGUCGAACGGUUGUAGCAAUACAGCAGUGGCAGACGGGUGAGUAACACGUGGGAACCUUCCUAGGGGUACGGAACAACUCAGGGAAACUUGAGCUAAUACCGUAUACGUCCGUGAGGAGAAAGAUUUAUCGCCCUUAGACGGGCCCGCGUCGGAUUAGCUAGUUGGUGGGGUAACGGCCUACCAAGGCGACGAUCCGUAGCUGAUCUUAGAGGAUGAUCAGCCACACUGGGACUGAGACACGGCCCAGACUCCUACGGGAGGCAGCAGUGGGGAAUCUUGGACAAUGGGCGCAAGCCUGAUCCAGCCAUGCCGCGUGAGUGAAGAAGGUCUUCGGAUUGUAAAGCUCUUUUGCCAGGGACGAUAAUGACGGUACCUGGAGAAUAAGCCCCGGCAAACUUCGUGCCAGCCGCCGCGGUAACAC